AGCUGGAGUUCCGGGUGGGCGUGGGCUUGGCGGCCCGGCACUCGGAGCAGCUGGCCGGCCCUGCGGGCCCCGGGCAAUGAGGGACUUAGCACCCGGGCCAGCGGCUGCGGAGGGUGUGCUGGGUCCCCCAGCAGUGCCAGCCCACCAGCGCUGCGCUUGAUAUCUCACCGGGCCUUAGCUGCCUUCCCGUGGGGCAGGGCUCAGGACCUGCAGCCCGCCAUGCCUGAGCCUCCCUCCGCUCCGUGGGCUCCUGUGCGGCCCGAGCCUCCACGACGAGCGCCACCCCCUGCUCCACGGUGCCCAGUCCCAUCGACAACCCAAGGGCUGAGGAGUGCGGGUGCACGGCGCGGGACUGGCAGGCAGCUCCACCUGCAGCCCCGGUGCAGGGUCCACUGGGUGAAGCCAGCUAGGCUCCUGAAUCUGGUGGGGACGUGCAGAACCUUUAUGUCUAGCUAAGGGAUUGUAAAUGCACCAAUCAGCACACUGUGUCUAGCUCAGGGCUUGUGAAUGCACCAAUCCACACUCUGUAUCUAGCUACUGUGGUAGGGCCUUGGAGAACCUUUAUGUCUAGCUCAGGGAUUGUAAAUACACCAAUCGCACUCUGUAUCUAGCUCAAGGUUUGUAAACACACCAAUCAGCACCCUGUGUCUAGCUCAGGGUUUGUGAAUGCACCAAUCGACACUCUGUAUCUAGCUACUCUGGUGGGGCCUUGGAGAACCUUUGUGUCCACACUCUGUAUCUAGCUAAUCUGGUGGGGACCUGGAGAACCUUUGUGUCUAGCUCAGGGAUUGUAAACGCACCAAUCAGCGCCCUGUCAAAACAGACCACUCUGCUCUACCAAUCAGCAGGAUGUGGGUGGGAGCCAGAUAAGAGAGUAAAAGCAGGCUGCCCGAGCCAGCAGUGGCAACCCGUUGGGGUCCCCUUCCACAAUGUGGAAGCUUUGUUCUUUCGCUCUUUGCAAUAAAUCCUGCUGCUGCUCACUCUUUGGGCCCACACUGUCUUUAUGAGCUGUAACACUCACCGCGAAGUUCUGCAGCUUCACUCCUGAGCCAGCAAGACCACGAACCCACCAGAAGGAAGAAACUCCGAACACAUCCGAACUUCAGAAGGAACAAACUCCAGACGUGCCACCUUAAGAGCUGUAACACUCAACGCGAGGGUCCGUGGCUUCAUUCUUGAAGUCAGUGAGACCAAGAGCCCACCAAUUCCGGACACAUGUUGACUGAUGUCUCAUGUCUCCCUAAAAUGUAUAAAACCAAGCUGUGCCCCUACCACCUUAGGCACAUGUUGUCAGGACCUUCUGAGGCUGUCAUGGGCACAUGUCCUCAACCUUGGCAAGAUAAACUUUCUAAAUUAACUGAGACUUGUCUCAGACUUUGGGGGUUCAUAUUUUGGCAACCACGAAGGGAUUAUAUGUGGAGAUGCCCCUGACCUUAGGCAAAUCUCCUAUCAGUGCUUGGUACCAGCCUGAGCUAACUUUAUGGCUCAAACCAAUAGGACAAUUUGUUGAGGUCUGGAAGCACUCCCUCCAGAGAAUCCCCAAAAUUUGCUUGAGAUCAAAAGUUUAUUUUGCUAUACAACUCCUUUUUUUUUUUUUUUUUUUUUUGGAGUUUUCCUUGCUUCCAACAAGGAAGGUAGGAUUUCCUGUUUCCAUGACAAUGGAAGGCAGGUAACUGCCUUAUAGAGUUUGAGCUCACUCCCAGCAAGAAGAUGAGUUUGAGGGUUUUUUUCCUGCUUCUAGGAUGGUAGAAAGCAGUCUUCAGCCUGAGACCCAUUCCUAGGUGCUCUUGAGUACAAGUUUCUGAUAACUUUGGAGAUUGUGACAUCAGAAUAGAAGAAAAACUUUCAGGACUCAUGGAGAAGUGAAAUGUUCAUGAACAUCAGGCAGAACAGGAAUUAACUGCAUGGACAGAACUAAUACAAGACUGAGGACAUGAGACUUCACAACCUGCUAAAAAUGAACUUUCCUAGUAACUGGGGACCUACCCGUCUAGGAAUAAACCAUCCUAGCCAUGAGAGAUCAGAUGAAACCUGAGACCAGAGACUCAUUUUCUCCUAAAAUGCUUUCUCCAAAAGAUUUUUAAAAAGAAAAGGGGGAAAAUAUGAAUGGAAAAUAAAUCUUGGGGCCCCAACAUCACUGAGCUAAAGGGAAAAGUCAAGCUGGGAACUGCUUAGGGCCAACCUGCCUCCCGUUCUAUUCAAAGUCACCUCUCUGCUCACUGAGAUAAGUGUAUAUCUGACUGCCUUAUUUGGAGAGGCUAAUCAGAAACUCAAAAGAAUGCAACCAUUUGUCUCUUAUCUACCUAUGACCUGGAAACGCCCUCCCCACUUUGAGUUGUCCCACCUGUGAAAGGAAAAUAAAUCUUGGGGCCCCCAAAUCACUAAGCUAAAGGGAAAAGUCAAGCUGGGAACUGCUUAGGGCCAACCAUCCUCUCAUUCUAUUCACAGUCACCCCUUUGCUCACUGAGAUAGAUGCUAUCUGAUUGCCUCCUUUGGAAAGGCUAAGCAGAAACUCAAAAGAAUGCAACUUUCCAUCUCUCACCUAUCUGUGACCUGGAAGCCCAGUCCCUGCUUUGAGUCUUCCUGCCUUUGCUUCAAGCUGUCCCGCCUUUCCAGACCAAACCAAUGUACUUCUUACAUAUAUUGAUGUCUCAUGUCUCCCUAAAAUGUAUAAAACUAAACUGUGCCCCUACCACCUUGGGCACAUGUCGUCAGGACUUCCUGAGGCUGUGUCAUGGGCACAUCCUCUACCUUGGCAAAAUAAACUUUCUAAAUUAACUGGGACCUACCUCAAAUUAUCUGGGUUCACACGCCUUUGCCUCGAGUUGUCCCACCUUUCCGGACUGAACCAAUGUACAUCUUAACACAUACUGAUUGAUGUCUCAUGUCUCCCUAAAAUGUAUAAAACCAAGCUGUGCCCUGACCACCUUAGGCACAUGUCAUCAGGAUCUCCUGAGGCCAUAUUAUGGGUGCACGUUCUCAACCUUGGCAAAAUAAGCUUUCUAAAUUAACUGAGACGUGUCUCAGAUUUUUGGGAUUCACAAUCUCCACUCUUCACCAAACCUACAAUAAAAAACCCUCAGCUUUACUGU